rnacentral:snRNA from 1 species
UUGCUCGCUUCGGCAGCAUGUAUACUAAAAUUGGAACGAUAUGGAGGAGAUUAACAUGGCCCCUGUGCAAGGAUGAUACACAAAUUCAUGAAGCAUUCCAUAGUUAA